rnacentral:rRNA from 1 species
AAAUUGAAGAGUUUGAUCAUGGCUCAGAUUGAACGCUGGCGGCAGGCCUAACACAUGCAAGUCGAACGGUAACAGGAAGCGCUUGCUGCUUCGCUGACGAGUGGCGGACGGGUGAGUAAUGUCUGGGAAACUGCCUGAUGGAGGGGGAUAACUACUGGAAACGGUAGCUAAUACCGCAUAACGUCGCAAGACCAAAGAGGGGGGGCUUCGGGCCUCUUGCCAUCGGAUGUGCCCAGAUGGGAUUAGCUUGUUGGUGGGGUAACGGCUCACC